rnacentral:tRNA from 1 species
GGAGCCUUGGUGUCAGUGGCAGCACGCCUGGGUGAAACCGCGGUAGGACCGGUUCGAAUCCGGUAGGCUCCA